rnacentral:rRNA from 1 species
GACGAACGCUUUCUUCGUGCUUAACACAUGCAAGUCGAACGGAAAGGCCCUGCUUUUGUGGGGUGCUCGAGUGGCGAACGGGUGAGUAACACGUGAGUAACCUGCCCUUGACUUUGGGAUAACGUCAGGAAACUGGGGCUAAUACCGGAUAGGAGCUCCUGCUGCAUGGUGGGGGUUGGAAAGUUUCGGCGGUUGGGGAUGGACUCGCGGCUUAUCAGCUUGUUGGUGGGGUAGUGGCUUACCAAGGCUUUGACGGGUAGCCGGCCUGAGCGGGUGACCGGCCACAUUGGGACUGAGAUACGGCCCAGACUGCUACGGGAGGCAGCAGUGGGGAAUAUUGCACAAUGGGCGGAAGCCUGAUGCAGCAACGCCGCGUGCGGGAUGACGGCCUUCGGGUUGUAAACCGCUUUCGCCUGUGACGAAGCGUGAGUGACGGUAAUGGGUAAAGAAGCACCGGCUAACUACGUG